rnacentral:lncRNA from 1 species
AAUCAAUAUAUAAUUUGUUGAAUAUAUUUUAGGAUAAAUUUCAAAUAGCACUCCUAUGAUUUCACAUUUUCUCACUUUAAUAACUUGCGGUUUAAAGUGUAUCAAGUUAGUGUACCGUAGUUUCAUUUUUAUUUUUUCAUCAGCUUUUUCGUUAGUAUUUCAUUAAAUUAUAUGCAAAAAAUUCAAAUAUCUCACCUAGGUUUAUCGAAUAUUUACUUUAAUACUUUUUAGUUUUAACUUUAUCACUGAUUUAAAAAAAAAAUAGUAAAAUUAAUAAUAAAAAAAUAAAAAUAAAAUCACAGGGUACUAAAUUGAUACACUUUAAACCACAUGAUACUAAAAUGCGAAAAUGUGAAAUCACAAUAAUAGUAUUUGAAGUUUUUCCUAUAUUUUAUAACAUGCGAAUUUCUUAUGUAUAAAAUAAUCACCUUUUUUGAAUGUCUAUUCAUCGCAAAUUUUUAGCAUGCCAUUUUAUAUUUUCAUUU